UAGACCAAGAUCAGGUGGGCGUGUUAGCGGACGCAUUGCACUGUUUGUCGCAUUUGGCACUGUUGUUGCGCCGGUCGUCCGUCUCUACGCCCGUGCCAGCCUACACACCCUCAGUUCCUGCUGUCAACAAGUCACUCAUAAGAUCUGUAUCCGAACAGGAAGAGAGAGAAAUGCCCUCUGAACGGACACCUAGCGACAACCGCUCAGAUCUUAUUCCAAUAUUUGAA